GUGGGGAAUAUUGGACAAUGGGCGAAAGCCUGAUCCAGCAAUGCCACGUGAGUGAAGAAGGCCUUCGGGUUGUAAAGCUCUUUUACCCGGGAAGAUAAUGACUGUACCGGGAGAAUAAGCCCCGGCUAACUCCGUGCCAGCAGCCGCGGUAAUACGGAGGGGGCUAGCGUUGUUCGGAAUUACUGGGCGUAAAGCGCACGUAGGCGGUCUUUUAAGUCAGAGGUGAGAGCGCGGGGCUCAACUCCGGGAUUGCCUUUGAGACUGGGAGACUUGAACACGGGAGAGGUGAGUGGAAUUCCGAGUGUAGAGGUGAAAUUCGUAGAUAUUCGGAGGAACACCAGUGGCGAAGGCGGCUCACUGGACCGUUGUUGACGCUGAGGUGCGAAAGCGUGGGGAGCAAACAGGAUUAGAAACCCUUGUAGUCC
rnacentral:rRNA from 1 species